UGUCAACUUCAUCAUUGUCGUGACUUUACUUUACUACGUUCUAAUGUUAAAAUAUGGACGUCAAACAGCAGCAUAUGUACAUACGUUGCCUUGUAUUGGGUGGAGUAACCGGUUUCACUACAGUUUCAGGAACUAUUAAUUCAUAUUUUUCUGGUAAAACAGUAGCGUAUCGACAAAUAGAAAUGUUUACCAUCUUAAUUUUGUUGAUGAUUGGUAUUGCAUAUGCAUACAAAACUAAAGAAUGUGGAAUCUCCUGUGGACUUGGUUGCAUACAUCAAGUAUAUGAAAAUGGCUGUUAUGGAUGUUAUUGUGGUAUAUUGGGAAUCAUAAAAACUUGUCCCGAUUUUGUGGCCUGCGGAGUUGGAUGCAAGGAUUACCUAUAUCCUAAUGGAUGUCGAUUGUGUUCUUGUAAAAGUUACAAGUGAACUCAAGAUACAGAAAAAUAAGAAUGACAAUUAAAUACAAAAGAGUAUUACAUGUAUUGAACUACGUAACCAUUCGUAUUCCGGGUGCUGCAGUAAUUCUACAAAUCGACGGAGAAAACGAAUCUGAUUUAAAUACAGAUCUAUAUUUUUACAACCAGUUGUAGUGGGAGGUCGCGAUAGAGGUGAUACGAGUGAAUUUUGAUCUAAUGACGUCGCACAUUUUUUUUUAACCAAUCAGCUUUGAUGUUUCUAGUGGGUUACCCACAGUUCCGCGCAACUCACGCCAAAAACUCACCGUAACAGGCCGUUUCAUUGGCUAACCCCUCACAUCAUCCAGAAUACGGGUUAUAUAACAACUCUUCCAGAUCCUUGUGCAGUAAAGGCAAGUAAAACCAAAUUUUGAACUAUAAAAAUCGAAAAGAAAUAGGAUCAGUGUUUUAAUCAGAUUGUGGAGAACACUAAUUGGAGACCACGCAUUCAUUGCCAAAAGAAGAAAUCUGAUCACAUAAUUGUCAACAAUACGUCCAGUCAUAAUAUAUACAUAUAUAUAUUUUUUUAGAAAAUAAAAUAAACAAAGUUG